AUUGGUGUCACAAAAUCGGAGGCCUCGACUGUUUACUAAAAACACAAGAAUGUGCAAUGAUAAAAGUCAUAGUAUACGUUCUGAAAUUGCUCGAUGCCAUUAAUAUAAAAGAGGUAAUGGGUAACUGUUACUAAUUGAAAGUCUGGUUAAUAGCGGUCUUAACUAUGAGGAUCCUAAGGUAGCGAAAUCAAUUGGCCAUUAAAUGUGGUCCGGUAUCAAUAAUGUAACGAAGGUCUCACUGUCUCUACAACUUGCUCAGUGAAAUUGAAUUACCCGUGCAGAGCGGG
rnacentral:rRNA from 1 species